rnacentral:rRNA from 1 species
GUGCCAGCAGCCGCGGUAAUACGUAGGGCGCAAGCGUUGUCCGGAAUUAUUGGGCGUAAAGAGCUCGUAGGUGGUUUGUUGCGUCUGCCGUGAAAACCCGAGGCUUAACCUCGUGGCUUGCGGUGGAUACGGGCAGACUAGAGGUAGGUAGGGGAGAACGGAAUUCCCGGUGUAGCGGUGAAAUGCGCAGAUAUCGGGAGGAACACCGGUGGCGAAGGCGGUUCUCUGGGCCUUACCUGACGCUGAGGAGCGAAAGCGUGGGGAGCGAACAGGAUUAGAAACCCUGGUAGUCC